CUCGUCUAGUGAUGUCUGGAUCACAAACGAAUCUUUCUAUUUAACCGGAUCUUCUUAGUGAACCGGUCGAACCAGUCUUUUCUGGUUCUUUAAAGUGAUUCAUUUGCUCAUUAUUCCAUAUGUGAAAAGAUUUUGCCAAAUUAAAUAUAGUCUUUUAAUUAUCUGGAUUUUGUUUUUCAUUUAUAGGUUAAUUAUGCAUCGGAUCUCCAAAGCUGCACUGGCCCAACCAGCUGUGUGAGUUUAGGGCAACACUUUCUGUUCAACCCAUGGCAGAUGGGGGAGGAAACCUUUUUCAAAACAGUCAUUAUAUCUAAUAAUGAUCCGGUAAAAAAAAAAAAAAAAAAAAAAAAAACGAUUAAAAAAAAUUAAGAAAAUGUAUAAUCAUUAUUUCACAUUUGCACAAGAUUUUGUAGUUAUUUUUAGUUACGUCAGAAUCAUCUUGUAUUAAACACAGAGGAAAGAGGAAAACUAUGAUGAGUAGUCAAAAAAAUAUAAAAAAUAGUUCAAAAGUCCCUUUUGAGAGCAUAGUCAUAUUUUAGUGUCCAAAAUAGAUUUGGAAGGAGAUUCUCAUAAUGAUGCUGCCAAAUUUUCCACGUGAAAAUGAGAGAUUCAGGAGAUAAAGUGUUAAUGAAUGGCAGGUAUACGGUCGGUAACUGUGGCUCUUGGCCAUGGGUAAAACUGCGUUUGUGGGCAUAUGACAAGCAUGGGAUUUCCCUCUUCUAUGGAAUUUUUCUCAAUGAAUUCAGGAGUUUAAAAGCUCAAGCCCUGAAAACUCAUCAAUCAGAUCAAUUUACAACUUCACUACAACUUUACAACUUCACAACAAAUUAAAAAACAGAGCAAUGAAUACCUAUGCAUGCUUCAUAUUUCUGCUGGCCAUUGGUCUUUCUGCUCAGAAGUCAGAGUUCGAGAUAGACUUCGAAAAUAUGGUGAAAACAGUAAAACUGGAGGACAAUAAGACACUUUUGCACUGCACAGAAAAAUGCGACGAGGUAAAGGAAGCAUGCAAAUGUCGCAGGUUCACUUGUUCGGUGGAAACCCCUUUUAUUGAAUGCAUUAAAAAUGGCCUUGGCGAUCUCAAAUUAAUGCAAACUGAAAAUAUCAUCACAAGACUAAUGUAUCUGAAUAUAACGUCUGAAAAGAAAAGAAUGCUGACAGACCAAAAGCUUUCACACAAGAUGUCUCCUAAAAGCUUCCUUGACUACAUUUUGGAGCUCUAUCAAGAAACAAAUGCUAAAAAUUCUGGUUGAUAUUUCCAUUUAUCGGUUUAAUUUAUAACAUAUUUAUAUAUUUAUUCAUUUAUUUAUUCUUGUUGGUAUGAAUGUUUCUAACUGUCAAAUGUGAAUUUUUCUAACUGUCAAAUGUAGAGUUUACACAAUAAAAUCAAACUUCAAAUCUACUGUAUGUAGCCU
ensembl:lncRNA